rnacentral:rRNA from 1 species
UGAGUACGAGCUGCUACGGCAGCGAAGUGGGUGAUGUCAAGCUUCCAAGAAAAGCCCUAUACCCGUUAAGGCAUGACGGCCUGUACCCGAAACCGACACAGGUGGGGUGGUAGAGAAUACCGAGGGGCGCGAGACAACUCUCUCUAAGGAACUCGGCAAAAUGGCCCCGUAACUUCGGGAGAAGGGGUGCCACCGCAAGGUGGUCGCAGUGAAGAGGCCCAGGCGACUGUUUACCAAAAACACAGGUCUCCGCUAAGUCGCAAGACGAUGUAUGGGGGCUGACGCCUGCCCAGUGCCGGAAGGUUAAGGAAGCUGGUCAGCGCAAGCGAAGCUAGCGACUGAAGCCCCGGUGAACGGCGGCCGUAACUAUAACGGUCCUAAGGUAGCGAAAUUCCUUGUCGGGUAAGUUCCGACCCGCACGAAAGGCGUAACGAUCUGGGCGCUGUCUCGGAGAGAGGCUCGGCGAAAUAGAAUUGUCUGUGAAGAUGCGGACUACGUGCACCCGGACAGAAAGACCCUAUGAAGCUUUACUGUAGCUUGGUAUUGUGCCCGGGCUCUGAAUGCGCAGGAUAGGUGGGAGGCUUUGAUCCAUUGCUUGUGGGUAAUGGUGAGCCACUGGUGAGAUACCACUCUUUCAGAGCUAGGGUUCUAACGGUCACCCGUUAUCCGGGGACCGGACAGUAUCAGGUGGGCAGUUUGACCGGGGCGGUCGCCUCCUAAAAGGUAACGGAGGCGCGCAAAGGUUCCCUCAGGCUGGUUGGAAAUCAGCCGACGAGUGUAAAGGCAGAAGGGAGCUUGACUGUGAGACCUACAAGUCGAACAGGGACGAAAGUCGGCCUUAGUGAUCCGACGGUUCUGAGUGGAAGGGCCGUCGCUCAACGGAUAAAAGUUACUCUAGGAUAACAGGCUGAUCUCCCCCAAGAGUUCACAUCGACGGGGAGGUUUGGCACCUCGAUGUCGGCUCAUCGCAACCUGGGGCUGAAGUCGGUCCCAAGGGUUGGGCUGUUCGCCCAUUAAAGCGGUACGCGAGCUGGGUUCAGAACGUCGUGAGACAGUUCGGUCCAUAUCCGGUGCACGCGCAGGAACAUUGAGAGGAUUUCUCCCUAGUACGAGAGGACCGGGAGGAACGCACCUCUGGUGUACCAGUUAUCGUGCCAACGGUAAACGCUGGGUAGCCAUGUGCGGAGCGGAUAACCGCUGAAAGCAUCUAAGUGGGAAGCCCACCUCAAGAUGAGUGUUCCCAUGGCAUAAGCCAGUAAGGUCACGGGAAGAACACCCGUUGAUAGGCUCUACGUGGAAGCGUGGCAACACGUGAAGCGGAGGAGUACUAAUAGACCGAGGGCUUGAC